AGCUUCUUUCUCAGUAUCUCACAGGGCUUUACCUGUAGCAGAAGGUCUUGUCUUUGGGUAUUUUUUGACUUUUCCCGCACAAGGUGGACACUAACUUUUAGUUUUUUGACUUGAGUUUACUAAAGGGGUGGAUUCCAAGAAAAAGCCUGCUCUUUUUUUCAAACUGGAAAUUGCUGGGAUUUUCUGAUGCACUGCUGUGCGUUUGCAGCCCAGUCUGGCUUCCGAAUGAUCUUGCUUUUAGAACGAGAUUGAGACUCACCCCUGGACCCUGGCUGACAUCUACCUGGAGUGCUUCACCCGCCUCUGUGGAACGGUUGAAGCAGGGGAAAGCAUCAUGCCCACCCUGCCAAAUCUAAACAGCCUAGGGAGGUUGUGCAGCUCCAGCCGCAGCCACAAUGUCGACCGAGUACGAGUCAAACGCAAUGGCUCCAUUAAGCGCAUGUCUGUCAUUGAGGAUGGUCAUGUGGCUGAGGUCCUGUACCUCAUUCCUAAACAGUACAUGGAGCAGCUGCCCUACCUCAACCCAAACGACUAUUACCUGAGUGAGAGGCUGCAUGAUGUUGCUUCAGUGGCCCAUGUGCAGGAGACACACCAUCGUUCCACAGAGAAGCCCCUGAUCCAGUGCUUUAAGUGCGGGCAGCCAUGUAAGGGCGAGGUGCUGCGGGUGCAGAACAAACACUUCCACCUAAAGUGCUUCACCUGUAAAGUGUGCGGCUGCGACCUGGCCCAGGGGGGCUUCUUCAUGAAGAAUGGAGAGUAUCUGUGCACGCUGGACUACCAACGCAUGCACGGCACCCGCUGCAAUGGAUGCGGGGACUUCGUGGAGGGGGAAGUGGUCACGGCAUUGGGAAAGACCUAUCACCCAGCCUGCUUUGUCUGCACUAUCUGCAAACGGCCUUUCCCAGCAGGAGACAGAGUGACCUUUAACGGGAAGGAUUGUUUGUGUCAGUACUGUCUUGAGCCAAUGUCUCCUGGACCAAAAGACAUCGUUGGCUCCAGUAACUGUGCAGGGUGUGGCCGAGACAUAAAGAACGGACAAGCCCUCCUAGCGUUGGACAAACAAUGGCAUCUGGGCUGCUUCAAGUGCAAGGCCUGCUGCAAAGUGCUAACCGGGGAGUACAUAAGCAAGGAUGGUGCUCCAUACUGUGAGAAGGACUACCAGAUCCAUUUUGGAGUGCAGUGUGAGGCGUGUCAUCAGUUCAUCACAGGAAAAGUGCUGGAGGCAGGAGAUAAACAUUACCACCCCAGCUGCGCCAGAUGCAGCAGGUGCAAUCAGAUGUUCACUGAAGGAGAAGAGAUGUACCUGCAAGGAUCAACGGUGUGGCAUCCUGGCUGCAAGAACACAACAAGGACAGAGGAGAGACACAUGGAGAGGCCUACUAGGUCGUCAUCUGAGAGUAUUUCUUCCAGACCUGGUUCAAGCAUACCUGGAUCACCGGGUCACACAAUCUAUGCAAAAGUAGACAAUGAGAUUCUUGAUUACAGAGACCUAGCUGCCAUUCCAAAAGUCAAAGCCAUUUAUGACAUUGAGCGCCCCGAUCUUAUUACCUAUGAGCCUAUGUACACCACCUCCCAGGAGGAGAGAGAGGAGAGACGAGAGAGUGUAGGAGAGCUUCUCAAUGCCAGGAGGGACCGCUCACCCUUGCCUGACGACAAGUCGUUCAGAACCAUGUCACCAACUCUAUCCAAUGAGGGAUGUUAUGACAAGCGAGAACGCAUCCUCCAAAGGUCCACCAGUCAAGGCUCUAUAGGCUCGCCGGUUUACAAUCGCCAUGGUUACACCCCCACUCUGUCACGGUCGCCGCAGCACUUUCACAGGCCAGAAGCUCUGACAGGCAUGCAGAAACUCUGCUCCUCCCUGUGCAGUAACAGUGUGGGCUCCAGAAAUAAUGACUCCCGCCCCACCUCCCCUUUCAGACACCACUUCCUUCCCCAUAGCCAAGGCACUGACCCACCAAGCGGCCGGAGCUCCCCUCUCCCGCUUAGGCCCGACAGCCGGCCGGGCACCCCGCCUCUCUCUCAGACCCCUAAACAUUUUCACCUCCCAGAUCAGGGCAGCAACAUUUACAGAAAACCACCCAUCUACAAACAAUACGAUACCAAUGACAUAGCACGUCAAAGCAAGUCGGCUGAUGACAUCAUCAGAUGUGCCACCUUCCCUGCUGCCCAUGCUCCCUCUCCAGACGACAACUCACAGCGUGAGGGUGAUUGUCAGCCCGACUCUAUCGCUGUUUUAGGUUCAGAAGGCAGAAGACGAUCAAGAGAAGAAGAGGAGGAGGAGACAUUGAAACGAAAGCAGCUUCAGGAAGAACAUCUCAACAAGAUUCAGUCUGGUUUGGGAAAGCUAAUUCUAAGGGAGGAGAUGGAAAAAGAUCAGAUUAGGGAGCGUCACGCGAGGAGUCUCUCUGCUCAGCGCUACGACCCCAAGCAGAAUAAUGGAGAUGCGGAUCCAACUUCUCCAAGCAAAACAAACUCUUUGCCUGGCUAUGGAAGGAAUGGUCUACAUCGGCCCCAGUCAACAGACUUCACACAGUACAACAGCUACGGUGACAUGUGUGGAGGAAGCAGAGGUGUAUCCCUAUGAAAUGCUCAUGAUUACCAGUAGAGGGAGAGCUAGACUGCCCAGAGAUGUGGACAGAACCAGACUGGAGCGCCACUUAGCACCCGAAACCUUCUUUGACAUCUUUGGAAUGGAGAUCCAGGAGUUUGACAGGCUUCCCCUGUGGAAACGCAACGACAUGAAAAAGAAGGCCAAGCUCUUCUAGCGGCAUGCUUCAUACCCACAAGACAACAACAAUUAUCUACACAUGUUAGGCUUUGCUUUGUUACCUUUUCUUCUGUCUUUUUUUUUUUUAACUUCUGACAUGAUCAAGAGGUUCGACUUGCACAUAAAUGCAAAUUGGUCUCAUGUUCAACAAUGACACACAAUGAAAGAUAAACAGGAUCAUAUAUUUAUGUUGCUGCUGCUUUUUUCUUCUUCUUUUUGCUGGAAUCGCUUCGAUCUCUUUUAUGCUUGUUUCUUCCUGCAAUUUAUUGAUUUGACUCCUGUGGAUAUUUGUAAGUGCAGUAGAACCUACAGCCUUGUAGUCUUGAACAUAUGUCUGCUUUCCUUUGCUUGGACUGGAAUAGAUUCAGUCCAAAGUUUGCAUCGAUCGGCUCAGUGAGUCUUUGAAUAUUAUAUUCAAAAUACAAAAUAAAAAACACGCACACCGACACUGGGAAGGCAGUCAGCUGACUCAAAAACAGUUUACUGCAUCUAAUGAACAAUCCAAGCAUCUUCACUAAGACUGUACAUGUAGGGCCUGAUUUACUUAAGGUAUGUGUGUACUUAAAACACGUGCAAACUUAAUUGCACAAGCAAAGCUGAUCUACGAGAUGUGUGCAAAGUGAAUUGCGUGUGUUAAGUGAGCAAAAUAAUAUAUGCUGAGCAUUAAAACACCCACAAUACUGGGAGGAGAAGAGACGAAUACAAUUAUUUAGCACACGCAAUGUGAUUUAUCAACACUCAUCACCGUUUUGUGAACACUAUUUUGUGUUUUAUUCAGCACAUGUCAGAAGGACGUGCAAACUGAUCAGUUGGCUGCAGGAUCAGUGCUCAGGCGAUAGACAGACUAGAACCCUGUAUACAUCCUACAUGUGUCAACAUUUUGUCCUUUCAGCAACAAUUUUAUAGCUGCUAGAGGACAUAAGGCCUGCUCAGUGGCCUUGUGGUUAUAGUGUCCGCCCUGAGAUCGGUGGGUUUGUGAGUUCAAACCCUGGCCGAGUUAUACCAAACACUAUAAAAAUGGGACCCAUUACCUCCCUGCUUGGCACUCAGCAUCAAUGGUUUGAAUUGGGGGUGAAAUCACCGAAAUGAUUCCCGAGCGUGGCCGCCGCUGCUGCUCACUGAGCAGAAGGGGAUGGGUCAAAUGCAGAAGGUAAUUUCACCACACCUAGUGUGUGUGUGACUGUCAGUGGUACUUUAACUUUAUAACUUAAGGGGCUGAUUAUGUGUUUUGGUCUCAUUUAAUUUUUUCUUUUAAUGACAUUCAUCCAUUUUCUACCGCUUGUCCCUUUUAGGGUUGCGGGGGGUUGCUGGGGCCUUUCUCAGCUGCAUUCGGGCAGAAGGCAAAUCGACACCUCAUCGCAGGGCCAACACAUACAGACAGACAACAUUCAUAUACAUAUUGUUAAAAUAUUUCUUAUACAAAAAACAACUUCUUGAAGUAUGCAUUUUUUUGAAGGUCUGGAGUGGAAUAUUUGCUGCCUUUCUCCAACGAGCCCACUUUUGGCAAAAAAAAUACUAAAAGAAAAGUGGUGCCAAUGUAGAUGCACUUCACAGCUGCUUCUAAAAUGCCCAUAAAAAGUGGUAGAUGUUUUCUGCAUGUUUAAAAAUAUAACAAAACGCCGCAGGUGAAAGCAUAAUAACGUGAAUGUGCAGUAAAUGAGAGUGACUCUGUCGUGAUGCCCCGUAUAGUACACGCAAAAUCAUUUUUGAUUGCACAAGCAGUCUUAGCAAUUCGCAAGCAACACACCCACUAAUAGUACACACUAUUUUAUAGAUUGCACACGCCCUUUACCGCGUGGUAUUUGGAUCUUAGUAAAUCAGGCCCACGGUGUCACUCUUCUCAGGCUUUCUCCAACACUUACCAAUUACUCUUUACAUGUAUUAGAAGUAUAACUCAAAACAUUUCAAUGCCAUACCCAAUAUAUGUACAGUAACAGGCAAAUCGAUACUACAGCUCAUGUACGCCCACCUGUAUUUGAAAGAAAUGUUUUAUAAAUGAAAAGCCACACUGCCGUUUGUUGUAUGGAAAAGUAAGCCAAUAAAGCUUUAAACACCACAAACCAUA